UACGGGGGGGGGCAAGCGUUGUUCGGAAUUACUGGGCGUAAAGCGCGUGUAGGCGGCUAAGUAAGUCGGGCGUGAAAUCCCACGGCUCAACCGUGGAAGUGCACUCGAAACUGCAUAGCUAGAGUCCUGGAGAGGAAGGUGGAAUGCUUGGUGUAGAGGUGAAAUUCGUAGAUAUCAAGCGGAACACCGGUGGCGAAGGCGGCCUUCUGGACAGUGACUGACGCUGAGACGCGAAAGCGUGGGGAGCAAACAGG
rnacentral:rRNA from 1 species